rnacentral:rRNA from 1 species
UACGUAGGGGGCAAGCGUUGUCCGGAAUCAUUGGGCGUAAAGCGCGUGUAGGCGGCCCGGUAAGUCCGCUGUGAAAGUCCAGGGCUCAACCCUGGGAUGCCGGUGGAUACUGUCGGGCUCGAGUCCGGAAGAGGAGUGUGGAAUUCCUGGUGUAGCGGUGAAAUGCGCAGAUAUCAGGAGGAACACCAAUGGCGAAGGCAGCACUCUGGGACGUGACUGACGCUGAGACGCGAAAGCGUGGGGAGCAAACGGG